GGAAAUUAUCAGUCAUAUACCCUUAAAUGACACCAGUAUCAAACGUGCUACAACACUUUUCAAGUGUAUCACUCGUAUACCCUAAGUUGACAAAACACUUCUGCCGUCCACCAAUCCGUUAACUGCCGUUUGCGAGCGCUGACAUCAUAAGGGUAAUCUAGUCUUUUUAAAAAAAUGACAUGUCAUCCCAUUUACCUAGUAAAAAACGACAUGUCAUAUGAUAUAUUUUGAUAAAAAUGAC
rnacentral:lncRNA from 1 species